rnacentral:rRNA from 1 species
UACAGAGGUCUCAAGCGUUGUUCGGAUUCAUUGGGCGUAAAAGGUGUGUAGGUGGCGCCGUAAGUGGGGUGUGAAAUCUCGGGGCUUAACUCCGAAACUGCAUUCCAUACUGCGGUGCUUGAGGACUGGAGAGGAGACUGGAAUUCAUGGUGUAGCAGUGAAAUGCGUAGAGAUCAUGAGGAAGACCAGUGGCGAAGGCGGGUCUCUGGACAGUUCCUGACACUGAGACACGAAGGCCAGGGGAGCAAACGGG